CAACCCUCAAGCCUGGCUUGGUGUUGGGGCACUACCUUUAAAACGGUAAGCCCUGAAAUUUAGUGGCGAGCUCGCUAAGACUCUGAGCGUAGUAGUUUUUUUCUUCAACGUCGCUUUGGAAGGAUUAGCGGUUGCUUCUGCCGUAAAACCCCCCCCAUAUUCUGAAAAU
rnacentral:misc_RNA from 1 species